GCGCCAGGAGGAGCCGCGCGCUGUUAGUGCUGGUGUUGCUGGUGCUGCCGCCGCUGCUGCCGUCAGUCACUCCGCGUUCGGUUCUUCGGCGCCCGGUUCGCUCGGACCCAUCGUCGCUUCUAGACUUUGCUGCGGGCUCGGAUCUUGCCGGGAAAAUGUCUGAUGAAUUUUCGUUGGCAGAUGCACUACCUGAACACUCCCCUGCCAAAACCUCUGCUGUGAGCAAUACAAAACCUGGCCAACCUCAAGGCUGGCCAAGUUCCAACCCUUGGAAUAACCCAAGUGCUCCACCUUCUGUGCCAUCUGGACUCCCACCAAGUGCAACACCCUCCACUGUGCCUUUUGGACCAGCACCAACAGGAAUGUAUCCCUCUGUGCCUCCCACCGGACCACCUCCAGGACCCCCAGCACCCUUUCCUCCUUCUGGACCAUCAUGUCCCCCACCGGGUGGUCCUUAUCCAGCCCCAACUGUGCCAGGCCCUGGCCCCACGGGGCCAUAUCCUACACCAAAUAUGCCCUUUCCAGAGCUUCCAAGACCAUAUGGGGCACCCACAGAUCCAGCUGCUGCUGGUCCUUUAGGUCCAUGGGGAUCCAUGUCUUCGGGACCUUGGGCACCUGGAAUGGGAGGGCAGUAUCCUACCCCUAAUAUGCCAUACCCGUCUCCAGGGCCAUACCCCGCGCCCCCGCCCCAAGCACCAGGGGCAGCGCCGCCCGUUCCAUGGGGCACGGUUCCACCGGGAGCCUGGGGCCCACCAGCACCGUACCCCGCCCCCGCAGGAUCGUACCCCACACCAGGACUCUACCCCGCUCCCAACAGUCCUUUUCACGUGCCUUCAGGACCUUCUGGUGCUCCACCGAUGCCUGGUGGCCCCCAUGUGAGUGUUAAAUUUGUUAUCUGAAAUGCACUAACAGUCACAUAAGCACAACUGAAAGAUGAUUUGCCUCUGGGUUCAGAGAGAAGAUUAAAAAGCAUUUAAAACUUUUAAAAGAAGGGAUGUGUGUAUAUAAGGUAAGGGUAAAUCUCAGGCUCCAGAUAAAGCAUUUAGAAGGAUGAAAACAAAAGUAUUCCUGGUACUGAAAAUAGAAAAAUUUCCCAAAGACUUUGUAAUGUAGUAAGCAAUGUCCUCAAUAACAUCCCUGAAGAAAACUCAGGUGCACGUCACUGGACUUUUUUUUUUUUUUUAAGUAUUUCUCUGUCGCAUUUUAUGGCAUCACACCAAAGCACAGUUCGGUAAAAAGUUUCUGCCUUUGUGACUUCAUACAGAGGUAGAUUUUUAGAGCAUCUAGGACAGUGAAUACAUAGCCUUUCCUGUCCUUCCUGUAACUCUCCCUAGUGUUGCUCAGCCAAAGUUCUGUUAGAUCCUCCGCAGCAUUGAGCUCCAGAUUAUACCACUAUUCUGCAUUGUCAGUUACAGGUAAUGCUUCAUGCUUUACUGUCAGCCAAGCCAGAGUGGUAGGAUUGACAUCUUAGUUGGAGAACCUGUCUUGGACAUACAACCAAAUAGAAAAGCAUCCCACUUCCCCCCAGAAUCUUACCAUUAAGUUAAUGGACGAAGAGAGGACGCUUUGCUUUUUGAAGUACAUGUAUAUGCACAUGAAUAUGCAUAUAUAAAAAUUGCUGGUUUCACUAUUCUUAGAGGGCAUUCAUGAAAGAACAACUCUUGCACCUCUCAGAGAAGAUAUCUGCCUCUUGUACUUGGAUGUAUAGUACGUCUGAUGGAUACAGUCAGAUAAAAAUGUAAAAGUAAAUCAUUCAAAUGUGAUUUUUAUUCGGUUUUUAUGGAACGUUAAAGCGAUGAAGUAUAUUGAAUAGCUCUUUGAUACAAUUUGUUUAAAACAAGAUUUCAAUUUGUUUAAAUUAUGAAACCACACACUUAAAAAUCGAAGAUGAUGUGGAUUAUUGUUAGAAUCUGCAACCUCAUUGGCAAAUUAUUUCAAGUAUUUUUCUAUAAUCACUUUUUCCCCAAAUAAACACACUUUGAAAACAAUCACAUUGUCAUAAUUUAAACAAAUGUUGCCUCUCAGCAUCUUGAACUGCUCUGUCUAUAGAAUAAAUAAACCUGGUCCUCUUGAGGUUGUAGUUUGGAUCUAUAUUUUAAAGCUUUUGGUAAUUAUUGUCAGAUGUUGAGUUCAUUAGCCUGGCAGUGCUCAUUUUUAUCCUUGAGCUUUUAGUAAAAACUUUUCUAUGAUUUUGAGUUCUACCUGAUCUGCUUUAUUUUUAGCCAGAUGGGUCACACAGCUCUAAAAUCUGCCAUUUAUGAAAACUUUUUUAUUUUUAAUGCAGGCCAACGUGUGUAAAUUCUUAUUAGAGAAUUGGUCAUCUCUGUAUUGCUUUGGAAUAGAUUUUGAGAUGUCCGUAUUGCUUUGGGAAGAACUCAAAGAAGGAAAUAAUUCUCUCCUUUGUCUUAAACCUCAAGCCAGAGGAAACCCUGGAAAUUGCUUCAUAGUGACAAGUAACUUGCAUUCCCACAGAACACUCUUCUACUCAGACCCUUUCUUAUAGGUCCCUCUGCCUCAGUUCUUUAGAAGGAGCACAUCCUUCAGUUUUUCCCUGAUACGGAAAACUGGCACACUCUAGGAGUCUGUUGUAAACACAUAUAGCAGUUAAGUUUCAAGAACCUUAGUCAUUUAGACAUGACUCUUUGUACAAGUGCGAUCAAAAUGUGUAUGUGUCUUUCAGAGCCUGGUUAAGCUGUGUCAUUGUCUUUUGCAUAGUUUCCUGCAUCUUUUGUAAAGUGCUUAUGGCUAACAGUUCAGUUCUGUGUUUGUUGACAGGUAAAUAGGUAGGAUUGAGUGCCAUCCUUAAAAAUUAUUCUCUAGCUCUAAUACUGAAACUAAUAAUAAUAAGGUGUAGAUCUCUGCAUUCUGUUGAAAGUAAGCAGUGUGACUGUCGCUUAAAUUAGUGUUGUUUGUAACCACCGAACUAUCUCUAAGUCAGAUCCUUAGAGUCUUAGAACUGACUAUGUUAUUUGUCAAAUAACAUUUUGAACCUUUGAAUGUAUCCAUCGGGUUACUAAAAUAUGUCAUGGAUUUCAUGACUAGUCUAGGAGAGAUUUAUGCUGGAGCUCUUGUUUUUGCUUAGAAAUAAAGUAUUUAGUAGUUUUGUUUCUCUUAGAGUUAAAAUGUCAAGAAUGCCAAAUGCUGCCAAUUUAAUGGUUUGAUAGCUACCUCCUUUUAAGAAAGCAAGAUGGUCACCUUUGAGAAGAACAUUCAGUGUUUAAACUCCCUUUUAAGUAGAUGAUAGAGUCAGGCUUUCAGAAUUGAAGCUGAGUUGUUUAGGUAUCUUCAGACUGGGGAAUGUCGUUAGACAGCUCCUACAGAGUGGCACAAGCGGUCUUGUUUUCUUUUGCUUCCUUGCAAGGACAGGCCGCACCAGUCUACAACACUCUUGGAAUCUUUGGUCAGAGCAGCCUCCCAUUUACAAGGCAGUAGCCCUAAAAGGUAUUCUAGCUUAAACGGUCGGGCAGUAUGUCAGCUAAGUGGGGGAUGAGAGGAAAAGUGAGAGAGCGGCCAAGGUCUCUCGCCUGGUGGUUAUUUUGGUUGUGUUAAAAGUUGGGAGAAGUUGACAACUCUGGCUUUAGAUGCAAUAUUUAAUGUAACACUAGAGGAUACUGUUUGAUUAAGAGAAGUGGUAGCACGUUUGGGAAUCUGUGAUCGUGGAGUCCAUUUAUUAGAGGAGAAAAUCUGCUAAAGGAUUUGAAGGAACAUGAACGUGAGAUUUGGAAUUACUACCCCCAAUAAAUACAUCAGCUUUGCUAGUGACCCAUACUGCCCCAUGUGCCCUAGACAUAACACCUUUUCUUUUCUUUUCAAGGACUUUCCAACUAGUAGUUGUGAAAUUUUUUUAACCUAAGAAUGGAAAUCAAAGGGACAAGAAUUUGCUUUUAUGUUCCUUUUAGUUUUGUAGAGCAUUAUUUCUCAGCUUGCGGGGAGAAUCUUAAUGCACGUGGGUACUCUGGGGACAAAAAUGUAUUCUUAGGUUCAGGGUAAAGUUAAAAGCAGAAGUUGUUCCAGCGGAGGAAUGGGGGGAAAGCACGGGGGGGAAGGUUUUUCUCUUUACAAGGGAAUAAGGUUGCUUUCGAAACCAGUCCUGGUAGGCCGGCAUCAGUUUAGGGAAGAGACUGUUUCUUAGAAAGUUUGUUUGGUCUCAGAAGGGAGUACACAGGAUGGAAUAUGCUGGCACUUGGGCUCUCUCUGAGCAAGAACUUUAAGACAAAUUUGAUGGAGAUAAUCGAGAUGUGUUGAGGAUUAGUGUUUCUGAAGUUGGAAUCUUAGAUUUUGAAAUGUUAAACCGGAAAAUGAAAAUAAAGAUCUUAGGUCCUCAUCACACACGCAGUUCUCAAGAAUCAAGUCUCCUUGGAGGAGUGCUUGAAAUAAUACCUUGGCUUGUCUGUCCUGGGCUCAGCCUGACGCCUUUUCAUGCUUUUGAAGAUGGUGUUUACAACUCAGACUCCACAGCCCUGUUUUGUAUAAAGUAGAACAUAGAUUAUUCAGCAAUAGGCAACACUUUUCUUUUAAUUACCCAGGGCCCUCCUCCCUUCGUCAGUUUUCCUGUUGUUUUCAGUAGAGAAUGAUAAAAGGGGAGAGAAAAAAGGGGGUGAAUUUUUGGCCUUGGUCUGGCACACCACUACAACAGAAUAUUGGCCUAUUUCUAGGAAGAAGUCGGUUUUGCCCGUAAAAUUUUAUCUCACAAAUAAUAAUAAGUGCUACCUGUUGUACCCCAAAGGACAGCUUUUGAAAUUGUGUACAGAAGGACGAAGCUCUACUCACGUUUCAGUUGAGAUGCUGUGUCUCGUUUGCAUGUCCAUCAGUUGCCUAGACUUCUAAAUGAUUAGUGCCAAUGUCUUCCUCACCCUGAAUAAGUGAGUGCUAGAUUUAUAAAAUGCCAGGGUUAUAAACCCUGGACAUUAAACCUAAUAAGCACAGACCUUCAAGUGUUGGUUUUUGAAAAGCAUAAGGUUAAAUUCAGAUGAAUCACGCUGAUAGAGGUACUAUGCAGAGAAAGUGGUGGGCAGCUUUCAGGGAAGACUAAAAUUUAAUCUUGAGCAAUAUUGAGUAUUGAAGGACAGACACUUUUUAUUUUCAGAAUUUUGCCAAGUAAAAUUAAAAUUGCCAAUAAAAUAAUCAGUAUUAAAGAAAUGCCAGGCAAGCUCCUGGCUAGAGAAAACAUCUGAGAACUGCAUUUGUUCAGCACUCAAGUGUCUGAUCCUGGUGCUUUGCCAGCUCCCAGAGCUGCAGAGAAGAAGGAGAAUGCCUGUCCCGUGGAGGCUUACCGUCUAGGGGUAGCAUUUACAGAAUGCAUGAGUACACCCAUUUUUGGUUUACCUAGAUGAAACAUGUUUUAGUUUGCCGCUGGUGGAAAUGAGAGGCCAGCCUUUGGACACUUUAAACAGCAAAGUGUGGUGUACCUUUUUUUUUUUUUAAAGUAAGAAAUUAAUGUUUCUCAAGAUUGUAGUGUUUGUCGGUGCAACUGUUCACGUGUGCAAAGUAACAGGAGGUUUUUCCUCUUCACUUCUUCCCUGGAUGAAGGCACUUAAACUGCCUGUCACUGGUUAACAGAUACUGAUUGUUGCCAUUAAGUAAACUUGACUUCUUAUGCGUGCUCUAUAAAGGUUUUGUUUUGUUUUGUUUUUGUAUUUUUUAAUAUUGUGAUUUUUAAAAUUGACUUAAUAAUGACAAAUUUGAUGUAUGUAAUUGUCUAUGCAUUUUAAGUUAAACUGCCUAAAAUGUGAUUUGAGACAUAGACAUUUGUUUUGUAUUAUGAACUGUAAGCAAUCUGUUUGAGAUGUUAGGUUUUAUCACCUGCUGCUGUAUUUGUAAACAAAGACAUGUUGCUUUAAGAAGUAAUUAUAAUUAGGAGUAGUCUAUUGAUGUGAUACUUGAUAUUUUUUAAGAUAAACUUGUUUGCUUUUGUGUAUUAUACCUAAAAACUUUUUUUAAAAAAUGUAUUUUCAUGGUUUCACAAGUUUUUCCCUGUAUCUUAUUCUUUAGGCCCAGUUCUGGGCUUCCCUGAGAAGUCCAGAGCCUAAUUAAUUACAAAAUUGUUGUCAUAAAGAAAGAAAGAAAAAAA